rnacentral:rRNA from 1 species
UACGAAGGGGGCUAGCGUUGUUCGGAAUUACUGGGCGUAAAGCGCACGUAGGCGGACUAUUGAGUCAGGGGUGAAAUCCCGGGGCUCAACCCCGGAACUGCCUUUGAUACUGGUAGUCUCGAGUCCGGAAGAGGUGAGUGGAAUUCCGAGUGUAGAGGUGAAAUUCGUAGAUAUUCGGAGGAACACCAGUGGCGAAGGCGGCUCACUGGUCCGGUACUGACGCUGAGGUGCGAAAGCGUGGGGAGCAAACAGG